CCUACGGGAGGCAGCAGUAGGGAAUCUUCCGCAAUGGACGAAAGUCUGAUGGAGCAACGCCGCGUGAGUGAAGAAGGGUUUCGGAUCGUAAAGCUCUGUUGGUAGUGAAGAAAGAGAGAGGGAGUAACUGGCCUUUAUUUGACCGUAAUUUCUUAGAAAGUCACGGCUAACUACGUGCCAGCAGCUGCGGUAAUACGUAGGUUGCAAGCGUUGUCCGGAUUUAUUGGGCGUAAAGCGAGUGCAGGCGGUUCAAUAAGUCUGAUGUGAAAGCCUUCGGCUCAACCGGGGAAUUGCAUCAGAAACUGUUAAACUGGAGUGCAGGAGAGGAAAGUGGAACUCCAUGUGUAGCGGUGAAAUGCGUAGAUAUAUGGAAGAACACCAGUGGCGAAGGCGGCUUUCUGGCCUGCAACUGACGCUGAGGCUCGAAAGCUUGGGUAGCGAACAGGAUUAGAUACCCCAGUAGUC
rnacentral:rRNA from 1 species